GAAUCUAACAGCUGUUUGGAGAUAUGUGGGAGAUUGAAAAAUGGGUUUGCUUGUAUCUACCACUUUGAAAUUUAGAGUUUUUUUUCUUUUUGAUCUUUGGUUAUUGGGUGUUCUGUUUCUACUUGUUUUUGUUUAAUGGUUAUUUGAUUUUCCAAAUCAUAUCUCAGUUGAUCAUGUGAAGAAUGCCAUAUAUUUAGUAAUUUGGAUCUUGAAUCGGUUGAAAUGAGAGAUUGUGGAUAAGGAACAUAAGAGACUUCUUGCUCGUAAAUCAAUUAUUGAGAAGAGGAAGGAAGAAGAAGAAUGCCAACUACUGGAAAUGGUACGAGGAGAGCUGUCAAGGAGGUUGCAACAACAGAAGAAAAGAGAAGAAGCAGAGCAGAAGAGGCAUGCUUUUGAACUUGAGCGAAGGAAGAAGAACGAAAGGAUCCUUCAAGAAAUAUUAUAGGUUUGCUAGAGGAGAGAAGAGGUAAGAGAGAAGAGGUAGCUCCACUAAUAUUAACUUCCUUUCAAAAGCGAUUAGUGGAAGAGACGGCCCUUCAUGAAUGUGAGCAGCAACUAGAGGCUGAACUGAGGAGACAAUGUCAUGAUGGGGACCUCAAAAGAGAGAAAUAGGUUGUCUCGGAUGCUUGAAUACAAGAUAAUUUUCCAAGAGUUUUGGGAAAGGUCGGAUAUAGUAAUAAAUUAGAUCAUUCAUGCUCGGAAGCAAGAGAGGGAGGUCACGAGAAAGAAAAUUUAUUAUGUGAAGUGGGAAGAGGAGAGGCUGAGAAAGCUGCAUGGUUGGAAUCCUGGAAGCAUGAAGAGGCUGAGAGACUAAGUAAAGUAGAAGCAGAACACGCGGCAAAAGCAGAUGAGAGACAGAGGCAAAGAAAGAGAGGGAGAGAGAUGAAGUGUGCAGCAUUCAGGCAUUAUGAAUUGUUCGCUUUAUAUUUAUUUGCCAGCUUCCACGCACUAAGUCUUUAAACAACUAACUUAUUAGAUUCUUAUUUGAUGCUCGAAAAGAUUUCUAGAAUAAAUCUGAGUUCGAAACAAAUCCUUGACACCUAUUCAGAUCUCAAGUUUUUAUGUUCUGUACCAGGCAACCAAGAGGGGCUUCAAAGAUAUUGCUCAGAGCAUAAGAUUAAACUAUCAAAGAUUGAUAGUUUAUGUCUUUCUCGCAUUUGCUAGAGACAGUAGGUGAACUUCCCCGUUUUUUCCUAUGCCUUAACCGAACUGAGUAUUGACGAUGUGUCAUUAUCUUACAUUGUCUACUACAUAGUAUUAGUAGUUGGUUAAUGGUUUUAAUCUUCAUGUCAGGAACAAACACAAAGAUAGUGCUCACUCUUUUUUCUUUUUAAAUUUAAAUUAUAUACUUUUAAUUUAUAAUUGUGAAGUUUUAUCGUUAUUGAAUUGCCACAUAUUCAUAUAGUGUCCAUUCUACACCAAGAAAUGAGCACAUGCUAGUUAAAAAUAGCAACUAAUAACUCAAAGGCAGUAUAACUAAAAAAAAAAAAAAACUAAAUAGUCAUAAAUUAGGGUUUAACUUGAUUUUACCCUAGUUGUACAAAAUUUAUAACUAAGGAUGCAAAUUUUGAAAAAGCUUUCACCAUUUAACUAAAUAGUCAUAAAUUACUGGCAAAUAUAUAAUUAACAAAAAUCGAGAUAUGUAUAGGGUUAGGAUUAGGGUUUAAGGUUAAUAUGUUUAGGUUUAGUAUAAGAUUAGGGUUUAGUAUAUUUAGGAUUAGGGUAGUAUAUUUAGGAUUAGGGUUUAAUGUUAGUAUAUUUAGGAUUAGUGUUUAAGAUUUAAGGUAUUAGGGUUUAGUAUAUUAGGAUUAGAGCUUAGCAUAUAUUAGGAUUAGGAUUAGCCCGACGUAAAUUGAACUUUUCCCAACUGUCAUCCCUUUUUUUGUGCAGUUACUGCCUUUGAAUUAUUAGUGGCUGUUUCUAUUUUUUUUUAGCAACAAUCAACAGAUACGAUAAUAUAUAAAUCGAGCAUCAUAGAGAGCUACAUAAUAUAUUUAUCCCAAAUUCAUUUCAAGAUCACUUUCUCCAAGUAAAUUCGUGAAAUAACUGGAAGCCAAUUUUCUCAAUCUAAAUGGAUAUUAUGUGAACAGGGGGAAAAUACAGCUACGGAUGGUGCAAAGGUAUUGCAUUCUGUUAUGACAUCUAAUUUCAUUGAAGAUGCAAAUGUGAAGCUUAUUAUCCUCCGGAUCAACAAGUGUCUUCUGAAGCAGAAUUACCAGUUGGGUCUCAGUCAGAUAAAGCUUCUGUUGAACCAUCCUUUAAUGAUCAUGAUGAUCCCAAGAUUUCUAGAAUAAAUCUGAGUUUGAAUCAAAUACUCGACACCUAUAUGAAGCAGCUGCAAUUCAGAUGCCACGUUUUAUGUUCUGUAUCAAGCAACCGAAAGUGGCUAUAGAAUUGCAACAAGGACUUUAAAUGCUGUAAUAAGGGUUCAUGAUGGUCGUGGAUCUGAUACAAUGCUGACUGAUAAAAUUUUGAAGGCACUCAACGAGGCUUCUCCCGAUGAACUCAUUGGGGACGACUGGUAAUUUAAGCAGUGUAAACGUCUCCAAAGCUCUAGACUAAUACGGAGCAUGAAUUCAGUUCAAAUCAGUCAGGCUGUCCAGGAUUCACAUGUGCAGUGAAGUAGCUUAUUGCGUGCUUCUUCACUCCAACAUGAUUUGGCUUCGUGGCAGCUCAGCUUAACCUGCUGUUAAAGGGUGUUUAGUUUUUUAGAGUUUGUUAGGGACGGUUAUUAUUUUUUUAUCUGUUUUUUCUAGCAUUGGCAGCAUGUAUAUAUACUAACCAUUUCAGUAAGUUAUAAUCACUGUUUUGCAAUCAAUGAAAACUUAGUUUCUUCUCUCAA